AAAGUUGGUGGUUUGCAGAAAAUUUUGGCUGCUUUGGACUUUCACGUAUUCCAGUUUUGCUACAUGAUUUUUUCAACCUUUGCUACAGUAACACUAUUCCAGUUUUGCCUAUAAAUUGCUAGGAUUCGCAGCAGUUUAAAAACACACCAAAGCAGAAAAUACUUCUUUCUGUUAGAGAGAGCAAGAGUAAGUUGAAGUAAAAUCUCAAAUACGAGAGUUUGAGGGUUUGAGACAAAAGCUUAGUUAGAAGCUUUUGGUGUGAGAAAAUUAGAUAGAAAUUUUCUCGGGGUAUAACGGGUUGUGAGUUGAGUGUUGUGAGUGUUGUAAACACUGUAUUUUUUUUCUCCCUUUGUUAAAUAGAAGUGCAGCAAGAGGUGUGAGGCAAGAGAGAGUUUAGAAGAAUUUUUUUUAAAUUUCUUACUUGCAAGAGCUCAAGUGAGCUCCCUUCGCCGGGCUGUUUCUUCGCCGACCGGCCACUAGGCUCUGAACCGAGAACGUGUACUCGUUCCUCCAUCUUCAGGCUACCAAACCCAACAAUCGAAAUGCCGAAGCCUUCUCUAUAUUUUCCUGACCAAAGGCCGCAAUAUCCUUCGGCGGCCAACGUCGAAUUCCCGACUUAGCCACCGGCCAACUUACGGCCUUCGUUUCUCACUAUCCUUACGACGAAAAAGGAUCGAGAAACCACCGUUGUGUAGCCUGAUCUACCUCGCACGAGGAAAACUAAGUAGUAGACCUUCGCGGCUAAACACCAUCGCGGAACGACGACCGGAAAACCCCCGACGGACAACUUCCAUUAGUGCUCACUUGGACAAGGGUUCAAAUAAACAAAAGCGUCUGAGUAACCUAUCGCGCUAAGGAAAGAGAAUCAUUGUCUUAAGUAGCAAAACACUGCAAUCAGGUUGAGCUGAUGUGAUGAUGGUGCUGCAAUGAGCGGAGUCUCCAGGGUUGUUAAUAAAUAGUUAACCUGUCUAGAAUAUGUCUUCAUACAUAUGUCUAGCUACUUUCCGCUGCAAGAUGUUGUUGAUGUUAUAGUAUGUUAUGUCAUACUUUGAGUCUUAAGAGAAUGGUUUCAUAUGAUGUAUAACUUGAUUAAUGAUAUUAAUUAAGUUUUAUGCUGUCUUUCAUAGACUAUUUUUCAAUUGAGUAUUCAUGAAUAAAAAUGACGAGUUUUAUUAAGAUGAGUAAGUUUUACGGCUAUAAAUGACGCCCCUUUUCUUCCCCUUCUUCUUUAACCCCAUCCCUAGUCGUAGAUCACUCGGCUUAACUAUCCUUAGUUAGGGCGGGCUGUGACAAAGUGGUAUCAGAGCGAAGGAAAGCUCUGAAUUAUAAGUCUUGAGUUUAGUCUAGAAUGAGUCACUAGACUAAUAGUUAUUAACAACCGUGAGCUCAGCGCACCAUCACACCAGACUCAACGAGGUAUGUAAAAUUUCAAAGUUUAUUUGACAUUAAAUUUUGAAGAGCAUGAUGUUGAGGUUAUAUGAUGAGUUAUGAUGUUACACUUUGAAGGUGCAUAGUUUGAGUUUGAGGAUGACAACAUGAUUAAUAAUGAGUUAUUAUGUUGUAAGAGCAUAUGUUGACGUUACAUGAUGAAUCAUGAGAGCGUUUAUAUCAUAUGAUGUUAUAUGAUUGAGGAUGCAUAAUUAUGAGUUAUGAUGUGAUGUAUUUGAGAUGUUUUGUGAUGAGAAUUGUUUGAGCAAUUGUGAUAAGUCACGAUGAUUUAGAUGAAGGAAUCUAAUGUCAUUGUUA